UCCUGACCUGUUAUAUGAACGAUGAUAGUAAAUCCAAGAGGAAUAAUGGUGUAAAUAUAAAGGUAAAAACAAACCGUAAUUGUCCAAUUUCAAGCUGCAAGAGGAUUUUAAAUACUUUGAAUUAAUAUUAGGUGAAAUAUGCGUUUGAUAUUUGCGUACGGUGUUUUAGUGCUAACGGUGAUCGUAUCAUUUUCAAGAGGGGAAGUGAAAUGGCCAAGUGGAACGUACGGAAUACCUCAGCCUCAGAUUGGUUGCCCGGAUGAUACUGACCUCAAGUGGAAAACUGGGUGGACUUACCACGAUACAGAGGAUGACAGUCCAGCCAAUCAGCGGUCGACCGUUUCUCACAUGGCAGGAAACUUUACCCAACAUGGUAUUCAACAGAAGUUCUGUAUCAAGGAUAGCGCUGCUGGGGGUAGUGAGUUUUGGCCAGAUGGGAAAUACUGUCUCUAUAAAAAAGGCGUCUGUCCCACUGGCCUCAAAGAAGGAUUUAUCCGAUGGGACGAUGAACAAUCAGGUAUCGACCAAAACAACGCGAAUUACGGCAAUCUUCCUGACGGAAUAUAUGAGAAAACCAACACAACUAUUAAGUAUUGCUGUAGUACCAAAGGAAACGUUAAUAAUCCUAUCAAACUACCAAAUCUCAGACCCUUCUACUUGCUCACCUAUGAUUCGACUCAAUGUCAAAAAGUUCGAGGGAUGAGAGUCACCUCAGAGUUUGUCAAGUUUGAUGAUGAUGAUCAGGGAAACACUGACGGUACCGGGGGUGCGUACCCCUAUGGGCCAAGUGAAGAUCCAUUCAACUUAAAGAUAUAUUAUUGUUACUACGAGCCAGGGCAAGAGAACACGGAAGACCUGGGAAUUGGAAAACAAGCUAAGGAUGGAUCGUCUGGGAGGGCGUCACCAGCAAUCGCUGUCGCUGUAGGGUGUGGUGUUGCUGGAACGAUUGUUGGCGCAGCAACUGUGGCAUUUAUCAUCAAAAAAAAGUUAGCCAAGCGCAGAAAGCCUGCAUAUGAUGCUGUCCUCGAGACCGAAGAUCUCAUUGGAGAAUAAAAUAUUCACGGCGAGAAACCGGAGACGAUAGUUUCAAUAAAUUGUACACUAUACUUGUACAAUGUAGCGUUUUUGCAAAAAUACUUCAUCAAUUGGAUUAAUCUACCUGAAAAAUAUACAUAGAAAAUGCCUGCACGAGGCAUUAACGUUUUUCGUACAUUUUUCAGGCAGAUUGAUCCAAAGGACCCGAAGCUUAUGGUCCAGGCCUUCUCCAACAAAAUCUUAGAAAAAAUUUUAGAAAACGGCGGUUUUAUAUUCUUCUGGAUCUUUUCUUACAAAACUGACAUAAUCUUUGUAGCAAACACGAUGUUUAUCCUAUAAAUAUAUUUCCUGGAAAAUCAUGGUAAACUUUGCAGAAAACACCUUAUCUAUUCUCCUUAUUCGAUGAGUCGAAGUUGUUCAAUAGCUGAGGAACUAGCGCAUGAAUAUGUUCUUUAUGUCAGCGUUUUCUUAAUUUAUCAGCAAAAAUCGUGUUUUAUAACCACAUGUUCAAGAUCAGCAGGCUUAAAUGAAGCCCAAGUUUAGCACUAACCGCGGGCUUAGAACAACCAACCGCGGGAUGUUAAAGUUAAACCGCGCACAAAUAUUCAUGACAUAAAUAUAUUGGGAACAUGAUUAGGUACCUCUCUGCAUGUCUUAAGUUCUUGCCCUCAUCUUAUCUGAACAGUCUGACCAUUUCUAGGGGAGAAUACCGCAGAAAUAACCGUAAAGCUUCCAAAUGCAGAUUUUGUUAAUGAAUAAAAACACGUGGUAUUUUUAAAGAAAGAAAAUUAUAUUACACUGAAGUUUUGCGCUACAUGCAGCCGUUACUGGUUACGGACCUGCUCACCUCUGCCAAAUCACUACUAAAAAUAAAUCUAUAAAGAUGUUUCUGGCAAUGUAUUAGCAGGUAACGUCGAAUGUUGACAUGAAAUUAUAUUUUCCAAAUCAAAUUUUAAGAGCAAACCGUUGAUCGUGAAUGGUUUUAUGAUUGAUGAUUUGAUGUACGAAUGUAUGAAUCUGUCUUCGUGAUAUGAAUUUGAUAUUGGCCUUGUUUAGUGUAUAUCUGACACGUUUCAUAGCUAAAUCCCAUAAGGAUACUGCGAUAUAUAAAGUCCAAGCAUCUGAAGGUGCGUGGUCAAACGAAUUGAACGAUCGACUUCAUAGGCAUUCGUGCAAAGCAGGACGUAUACAAAAAGAUACAACAUUGCUUCAUAAACUGAAAUCUGGUACAUUUACUGAGUUGGGGCAAGUCAAAGACCUCGAGGUCUGUGUGCUACAGUGCUGUGAGAGCAGACAUUGUGACCUAGCUUUGUUCAAGGAUCAUUUUUGCUAUGGAAUAACAUGUUAUAGCUCUCAGCAUUGCAAAACAGUGCCAGCGUAUCAUGAUGACAAGAUGAUUGCCGUCUUUUUGACUAAGGCGAAAACAAAUGUCACAAAACAAGAUACAAAGACCAACCAAUCAGGAGGAAGAAAGGCAAACAAGAAGCCAGCGGAGUUCGUCUUUUAUCCAUCAGAAUCCUCAUCUGACCUCGCCUUUUCUGUAAACCUCAGAAACAUUGCUCAACAUUAUAUAAAUGAUGAAAGUGUGAAAAAUAUCUUAACUGCCAAGGCAGAUGAGUAUCUGAACGAAAUAAAAAAUGAGUUAACUGGAGAACAAGAUGAACUUUUAGAUGGUCCUGGGGAUGUCGAAAGGCCAGGCAAGAAAAAUGCAGAACAAGGAGCUGUAGGAAUAACGGGUAUUGGGAAUAAAAAUGUGUCUCUAUUAGAAAAUUUCUUGUUAGGAAAUCACCCAACUCAGCACAGUCGAACUGAAAGCUCGGGAAAGAGAAGCGAAACCUUCCAUAAACUGACCAAAAAAGGUAUGACGACUGUCACUUUGGGGGCAAAACUUCUGAAAGCUGCUAUAUCAAGUUCUUCUGUGGCGAUAUUGAUUGUUCUCAUUGUUUUACUCGCCAUGACAAGAAGGAAACGAGAAUAGAAAUAUUAUUUUCACUUUUGGUUUGUGGUAUAACGAGUUUUCUGAACGGCGAGAAGAUCGGCAUCGUGCGAAGACAACAGCAUUUUUAUACAUAUUUUGUACUUCGUAAAUUGUGUUGGUAACCAAAGACAAGUAAUUCUGUUUAGCUGAUAAAGAUGCAAAAAAUUUUCAAUGUCGAAUGAAACAGCUUUUUCACACUCGGAAUCAAGAAUUCGUUUCAUUCUAGAUCAUUUACAAUAGGAUAAUUUUUGUGCAAUUACGUAGAAAAACCUACACCCGUAACGGGUCUACACAGUCGUAACGACUUUGUUACACGAUGCAAUUUUUUUUCUUGCGAUUCGCAAUGCAAUUAUACUUUUGAGAGAUGUAAAUUAGCUAAUGUAUGAAGAAUUUCAGAAUGUAUAAAUAAGAAAACAUCGGUGCGGUGUAGAAACAAAUAUUUUGUAGUUGCCAAAUUCACAUCUCUCGAAAGUAGAAAAAAAUGAAUCGUGUAACACGGCUUUUUUUUAAAUGACUUGAAAUAUGCGUUUAUCCGUAAUAGCACGAGAAAUUACUUAAUACUAUUACUUAAACUAAAUG
rnacentral:misc_RNA from 1 species